rnacentral:lncRNA from 1 species
CGCGUAUCCAUACAAACAGUGCAGACCGUUGCACGGGCGUGCGCCAGAGGUGUCAGCCUCGUUAGAGUUGCGUGACGCAACUAAGAGUGCCGUCACGCAGGUAAUAGCUGCGUGACGCAACCCUAACGCGGGUCAGACUCCUUUGGGCCGGUUCGAUUCAAAUUUUGGUUCAAACGCUUCUGGUUGAUCGUGAUACCUU